CUAGCCCCUGCCUUGGAAAAACCAGUUUCUCUUUUAUUGUCUGUGGCCAAGCUCUACUUGGCUGAGCCUCUGCACUCCACCCCCUCUCUUUCCAGCUUCCUUGAGCCCCCUCGCUGCCACUUUCUCCUACUUUCCUAUUGUCUUUUACUAAAAAGAGGACCACGUGUCUCUUUCUCAAGGAGCAACUUCUGCUCUGCCCAGGCCGCUGAGCUAGGCACCCUGUAGAGAAUGGGCCACUUCUUCUAGUCCUCAGUUCUUGAGGGUAAAAGAUCUUCCCAAGACUUAAAAAUUCUUUUUUGUUGUUGUUUUUGGGUUUUUUUGUUUGUUUGUUUGUUUGUUUGUUUGUCUUGUUUUGCUUUGCUUUUCUUCCCCAGGAUUCUUCAACCAUCUUCCAGCUUGGUACUCUCUUUAGGACAAAAAAAAAGUAUUAUUUUUGCAUCAAAGGCAAAGCUGAACCUGAGAUCCGAAGGUAUAGGUACUUCUAUAUACUUGCAGGUGAGUCUGAAACCUCUGGUUUGGGUCGGUGAGUGGCUAAUCCUAGGGACUAUAGGGCCAGAAGGGAAGAAUGGAAAGGCCUUCUACACUGGAAAUCAAGUAUCAACUUCUUUCUUUGUUUUCUGGGGGAUUUCUGAGCUGUUGGGUGGUAAAUCUUGGUGAUAAUGGAAGUGGGUGCCUGGAAGCUGAAUAGCAAAACUGCAGUUUUGUCUAAUUUCCUGGGGACUGGCUUGACUAGAGGAAUGUGUGCCUGCUGCCUUGUCCUGGGGUCCUGAGUGUAGCACAUGCAAGACCUGCUUCUCUUCUGAGUUUCUCAAGUACAAGAUGGUUUUUUUAAAAGACAUUUAGGGCACAGUCCUGAAGGCAUCUGGAAGAGCAGUCACUGGCUAAAACUUAUUCACUAGCCCAACACGAGCCUUGUUGGUUCUCUGACCCAACCCAAUACCGCAACUAGACAAGACAGCCGUCACUGGAGAUUGCAUUGGUAAGAGGCCUGCUGAGUGGGAGAACUUGACUACUAGUGAUGCUCAGGGUGUAUCAGGUCUCUGGAUCCAGGUUGUAGAUCAACUCUUCUUUCGGCAGCAGCUGCAGGUCGGCAGGAACAGAGAAAUGUUAUGAGGAGAGGCAAGACUUCCCUGAGCUGCCUCCUCCACCCCACCUUUCAUAUGGCCUCUUAUCAUUAUCAAGCCUUUUCUUCUCUGGAUUCCACUGGGAGGGUCAGGAUCUCAAAUGAGGAUGAGUCUAAUUGUGGACUUGAGGAGUCUGAUGGGCUUCCUUAAGUGUUGGGUAAGGGGGGGCAGGGGAAGGGUUGGACCUAAUACUGACCUUUUUACUUUCAGAACUGAGUUGAAAUCCCACAAGAAGCCAAGACUCCUUCUAACCCAGAACUAUCUCCCACAGUCUCCUGCCUUCCUUAGUCAGACCCAGCAGACCUGUGUCUUUCUCCCCUUUGACUAGGGAGUGGGUCAAAGGUGGUGUGGGGGCUUCUGUCGUCUUGAUAACUCAAUGACCUUACACACCUUUAAUCUUCUGCUGGAGACCUACAUAAGGACAUUGGAAGAAGGAAGACUCUUUGCCUGCUUGCCUUGUGGGACUUGGCAACUGCUAGAUCCUUGGACUUCCUUUCACAGCUGCUGCUGACCAUUGUUGGGGAGUUGGACUACCAACUGUAAGUGAUCAACAGAUUCAUAAGUUCUGUGACUCUAGAGAACCCGACUAAUACACCCUCUCACCACGACUUCUCUCUCACUGCAGGCUACAGAACAAUAAAUCCUGUAACAGCAGAGUGAAAACAUUUCCUCAUUUGACUUUCUCCUGCUUUUUAUCACAACGAUGGAAAGCUAACAUAGAGGCUAACAUACACAGAAGAGCCAGCAAGUAUCUGUAGAGUAUGUGCACUCAAGAACGCUAUCCACCAUUUUUAUCUCAGUAUAAAGCAAAAACCUUUGACAAGCUUGUCUUGUACCUCUCCCCUACCCCAUUCCCCACUCCUGUAUGGAAGACUUAACCAGAGACAGCUCACUGGAAACCCAACUGCUAUGGAGCACCAUCUUCCCAACACGAUGUAUCUAUCGCCCUCUGAAGUGUCAGAGCCCUGUGAUUAUCUGCACAAAGCUGAGUGCGCUUUUUAUCAAGAAUUUAUAGGUACUUAAUGGUUGCUAUAGUAGGGGCUCAUGGGAUUCCCCCCUCCACCAGGAUUUACAGACAGGUAACAGAAGUUAUGGAGGACAGAAAUUGUUUUCUUGAGUGGUCUCACUGCCUAAAGGUUGCCCAUGCUUCUAUACUAACCCCAGUUAAAUUCAUUGGUCACUAGGCUGCACUGGGGUAGAAUCAGGUCUGGAUUUCAGUCCUUGGAAUCACACCUCUGUUUGCCAGUCUCCUCAGAAAAAAAAAAAAAGUUCAUGACACCAACAUUAAAUUACAACAUUACAAUGUAACCAACGUUACAAUGUAACUCAUUUGUAAUUCCCAAGAUCCUUGGCAUCUCCUCCUUCCUUCACCUUCCCUUUCAGGCUUCUCCUUCAAUCUGUGUGUCCUGUGGGACAAGGCUUCAGAGUUUUCAUUAUGUCUUUUUCAAAGUAAGUAUUAUACAAAUAAAGAAUUAACAACUGUC